rnacentral:lncRNA from 1 species
CGUGAAGCCUCACAGAGCGAACGUUUCAAGGCAGCAGCUGAAAACACAGCAAAUAACAAUGCAGUUUUACUUCCAGCUCCUGACUGAGGUGGGCACUUCUUGCUGCAGCCAGGGCCGGAUUUACGUAUAAGCUAAACAAGCUAUAGCUUAAGGCCCCACUCCCUUGGGGACCCCCCAAAAAAUCUUACACAUCACAUUAAACAGGACGUUGGAUUUUCUGGCCUCUGGGAUUCGUUCGCCCAGUGGCUCACUAGCUGGUUGCCAAACCUGAAUUGGCUUCGUAAUCUUUUUCAAUAUGCUAUUGUCAUAAUAUGUAUAUUAAUUUUGCUAUGCUGCUUUAUCCAAUGCAUUCCUGGUCUCAUGCAUCUUUGGUCUCAGUUUUUUUCCCCUCCUCAGCCACCUAAUAAAAUCAUUGCUGCCUACUUAGCGAAGCGGCAGCACCAACAGUAAAUAAUAGGGAAGAUGUGGGCAGACUUACUUCGGGCAUGCGCUGGCAAACCACGUAUCCCGAAGUGUUUUUGUCCCAUUCACCCUGAAAUCACAUAGCAACAUCUCGCAAAAAAAAAAAAAAAAAGGAAGGGGGAGAUGAUGGGAAGUUCUGCUUCUGCACAUGAGUCUGGCAAACCGCUCUAAGCUGAAGCAUUCCUUCCUCAUCCACCCUAGAAUGUUUAGUUCACAUUGAGUUCAUGAAACUAUCGUAUCCUGACCUGUUCUUAAUGCAUGGUUGACCACAUCUACGGAAUGCGAUUGUUAUGCUCUUUUAAGUUUUGCAAUAUCAAUCACUAGUAAUAGUUUAAUAAGGAGGUUUUCAUACCUGUCCAACCAUGUGUUCCCUUUCCCAACCUUUAAUCUAUUGAUGAUUAAUGCUUAUAUGCAACCCUUGCAUUGUAUUUGUGUUAACCAAUCAGCAACAAGCACAUUUGUGGCAAUGCUGUAAUAUUCAAUAAAAGGGACUCCCCGAGACAUGCUCCAGAGAUGCCUCCCAUAUGACACUUGUCAUUCGUCUGUCGUUUAUUUCAACCCAACACUUCAGGUUACAGACGUUUCAGGUUACAGACUCCGCUAACCCAGAAAUAGUACCUCGGGUUAAGAACUUUGCUUCAGGAUGAGAACAGAAAUCGUGCUCCGGUGGCGCAGCGGCAGCAGGAGACCCUAUUAGCUAAAGUGGAGCUUCAGGUUAAGAACAGUUUCAGGUUAAGAACGGACCUCCGGAACGAAUUAAGUACUUAACCCCAGGUACCACUGUACAUAUUUUGUUAUGUGCAAAUGGCUUUAGAUACCUAUUAGGUCCAUAAAUUACCAUAUAGCAUAUAUUCAACACAAACAAUAGCAACAAUUUGUUGUUGACAAAGGACAGCUGGACAUAAUAAAGGGCCCCAUCACCUUCAGGAGUUUAGGGUCUCAUCAAACCUAAAUCCGGCCCUGGCUGCAGCCCAGGUAUGUUGCGAAGCUGUGGCACCUCCAAGUUCCCAACAGCCGUAGCAAUUAUUUUGGAAUAAUCCACAUUGUAUUCAGUAGGGCUUCAGUAAAACGUGGUUAGAAUUGAGCUGUUAGUCUGUUUGAUAGAAUUGUAGAGUCGGGAAGGAGCGCAGAGGAUCUUCUAGUCCGACCCCCGCAAUGCAGCAGUCUCUGUGUGGGCUCAAACCACCAACCUUCUGAUUUAACAGCCAGACACGCUAAGGCAUUGUUGCAGCAAAACUACACACACACAGUGCAUGCCUGUGGUUUUAGGCUAGGAUCCAAGGCACAAGGAAGCUUUGUGAGUCUUAUCCUGAGUAGUACUCAAGCAUAGGAUUGUGCUGUUAAUGAUCUCCUUGGGGAGAAUCUUCCAUGGACCAGAGCCAAAUCCAACAGGUCCAAAGUAUUGUCCCCAAUGGCACACAUGAUUAAAAUGGGGGAAUGUACACAUUUGGUUCUAUAACACUACUAAAUGCACUGCUUAUCUCUAUACCCCAUCUGUGCAACAAAACUUAAUGUGUCUGAUAAAGUUCUCUCUCUUCUAUGAAAGCACCUGCUAUGGUAAACCCUUUAGUCUUUAAUGUGCCCUAGAGGGGUUGACAAUAUGGUACCCCAACCUGCCACAUGGGGGUGCAUAAUAAUGCUAUCCCCUAUUCUGAAGAUAGACUAUAGACUAUAGUCCAAGGCCUAAAACUGCCAAAGUUGUGACAAUUGCUACGGGGAAGGCAAAACCUGCAGAGCAGGGGAAAAUUCCUUCCCAGCUCUGGGAAACAGCAACCACUGUGCAACCGUAGCAGUGUCCACGGACCUAGGAAGAAAGGUUAGCCUGCAAGAAAACACAUUAAAUUAGAUGGAGGGACACUCCAGAGACCGACUGGGACAAUGGCCGGCAGGAGCCUGCCCUACCUGGCCCUCGCCCAGCCCCUUGCCAGCUGUCCAUUGGCCAGCUGGAAGGGGGCGGGCAGACAACAAUGGGGUGGUGUCACCCGGCCUUGGGAAGCCCACGCCCACCGCUGUGACAGGUGAGUGGUAAAUACUAUAAUUGGCUAUUGCUAUUUUGCAGUUAUAAUUUGCUGUAUUAGUUUUUAUACUUUGUUGUGAUUAUUAUCAGCAUAUAAAUUAUGUAAAUAAUAAAUACAUAGAUGAAAAAAUGUUUUAAGUCUGUACACUUCAGUCCAUAAGGAAACAGCACUGAAUCUAAAUUUCAGCUUACUGUUGAAUUAGAAAUAUUUCAAAGAUUCCUGGUGGAGAGUAAGAAUAUUUUUCCUAUUUUGCUUUUAUAUAUACAUCUUUGUGACUUUUAUGCACUGCUUGAGUUGCUAUCUCAUCCAGCUUAUUUCAUUCCAGCUCUGUGAGAUACCAAAAAUGGUCUUGUUAUUCUUUCUGAAAUCAUUAGUGGAAUUACUGGGCUUUAAUGGCAAUUAAUGCUCCUUUUGUUGUGUUGGGGAUUAAUGUUGUGAUGCUGCUAAGUGGCUGCUGAAUAGCAUUUGUUGCACAAGACUCCUUUUUAUCAUUCAAUAUUUGCAUUUCUCUGAAUAUAUUUUUCUACUGUUUCACUUCCCUACUUUCAAACCACUGACUGAUCCCCCAGAGGAAUUGGGGGGGGGGGGCAGAAGGGAGGCAUGAAGAAAGAAGCUGGAAGUCUUUGUAGUAAUAUCCUGUUGUCUAGUAUCCUGACUUCAUCUCCUCAUUCUCGGCUUCAACUGAAAAAGUAAAAAAAAAAAUUCUUUAAAUAACAAAACAGAUUAAGUUAAUUAUUUCAGCAGCUUCUAAUCAGGAAAUUAUACUCAUUUGUUUAUAUGUGUCCACUGCAUCCCUAUAUGUACAUUUUAAUCCACUUUGCAGUGUGUUCACACACACACAUACAUACAUACCACACAUUUAAAAUACACACCCAGGAAUCCUGGAAACUGUUGUCUAUCCCUCGCAGAGCUAUAAUUCCCAGCACCUUCAAUUUUCACCAUGCUGCUUUCAUUACAAUCAAGCUUGUGUAACACUUCUUUAGGAAAGUGUGCCAUUACAAAUCUGCAGAAUGUCAUUGUCUCCUCACUAAAAAUAAUAUUCUAAGCUGCCUGGACUUCGUUAGCUCAGAGAUGGAAAGAAAGUACAGUCCCUACCAGGGAAGAAUGGCAGACUAAACUGAUGUACUAAGCUGAAAUGGCAAAAUUGACCAGAAGAAUUGGGAAUCAGGAAGAACAAAAUGUUAAUAAGGAAUGGAGAAAAUAUAUAGUCUAUUAAAAAAUUAUUGUAAACAAGUAAAAUUAUUAGUAGGGUUGAUAUGACACUUGUAGUUAAAAGUUGGACUAUGGAUUAAUUAACGAUUUGAUAGAAACUGGACUAGCAGAUGAGAUGCAGGAGAAAAGGUUGACAUAAGGACCACAAAAGGGGUGGAAGGAAGUCAAAGGGGAUUUAUUUACAUCUUAUUUGUUUCCUUUGCGAUUGUUUGUAAGCCAGAAACCCAAAAAUAAAAUAAUAAUAAUAUUCUAUAUACAUCUGUGGACGAGAAAGCUUUCAUGUAAGAGAACCCAAAUAUGAUUUUCAGACAAGAUUGACUCCAUACUUCUUAUAUAGAAAUUAAACUGUACUGCAUGACAUACGGUAAUUUUUUACUUGGGAAAUAGAAGCAGAGUGGUGGGUAGUGCGUACCUCUGGUUACGAAUGCUUCUGGUUACGAACGCUUCAGGUUACGAGCUCCGCUAACCCGGAAGUAGCUGCUCCUGGUUGCGAACUUUGCUCCAGGAUGCGAACGGAAACUGCGCACCAGAGGCACGUGCGCAGCAAGAAACCCCAUUAGCGAAAGCGCGCCUCAGGAUAAGAACGGUUUCAGCUUAAGAACGACCUCCAGAACGAAUUAAGUUCAUAACCAGAGGUACCACUGUAGUUUAAUCACUAGGUGGAGCUCAAUUUACCUGUGUCUGGAUGGAGUAAGGUGUUUCCUGUUGCUGUUCUAGUUACAUCCACACCAUACAUCAUAGCACAGGGUUUCUUCCAAUAAAUCCUGGAAACCAUAGUUUAUCCGUCAGUGCUACAAUUCCCAGCACCUUAAUGAGCUACAGUUUCCAGGAGUCUUUGGAGAAAGCUGUGUGCUUUAAAUGUAUAGUGGUGAUUGUAGAAGCUGCCCAAAAACCUUGCAUUGGCAAGUAGAUUGGCAACCAGUUUAAUUUAAUGCUGAAAAUGCCAAUGAAGACUGGUGCUGGGACUGUAGCACACACGCAUGCCCGUUAGAAACAUGUAAAUCCCAGAAUGUGGAGUUCAAUGUGUUCUUCACAAGUCUAGAUGUAGGUGAUCUGGUGUGUGUUUCGAAUAAGUGGAAGGGGAAUGUCCACAGAAUUUGUGAUAUUGGAAAUAAUUUGAUGUAGAACUCAUUGUUAAUUUCUGCCUUCUGGGGCUGUUCUUCCAAGUCCUUUUUCCAUGCUGGUGAAGAACACAAGAGAUGUUUUUGCUGCCUAGGUAACCAUAACAUAUUAUCUAUCCAGCUUUAGUUAUUUAUGCCAUCACUUCUGCUUAUGUAAAUUGAAGAUGCUCUUCAGAAGAUUUUCACAAAUAGCUCUCAAAAUUGCAGUGUCCUUUUCUCGAGACAAUUUCCAUGAAGGCAAAAUGUCUCCCUUUCCCUCCAUUGCUUAGUAUCUGUCACCAAAGGUUGUUUUAGCUGCAAAUGUUGGAUUCAGUUCAUGAUUACACAGUGGUUAGAGGAACACAGUUACAUUUCCAUGGUAAUGUUGUUCUUUCUUAGUCUCUUAAAUUGAUUAAUGGCAUAGUGGUUGCUGACUUUUCAGACGAGGCAGUUAGCAAAAGCUCUACGUUUAACAAAUCUCCCUUUGAAACUACAAGGACCCAUUGAUGUAAUUAAACAUCUGGCUAGAUUGGCUGUCAAGUGCUAAAUGCAGCAAACUGAAAUUUAAUGACUGAAUCUCAAAUGUAAUUGAAUUUUAAACAUUUCCUGAUUAUGUGCAUUAUCUGCAUAGGUUUGCAUCGGUAGGUCUGUAAAAAAGUGCUGUAAAAAAGGUCUGUAAAAAAGUACUGAAUAUUUGGAUAGGGAAUUUUAAAAGUAUGAAGAAGAAGAAGAGUUUCAUGCUGGCUUGGCCUGACAGGAAUUCCCUGACGGGAAUUGCCAGGAGCCAUGUGUGUAGUAUUGUGGGCUCAAUUUUAUGGAAGUCCCUUACAGUUGAGAUUAGUCCCUGUCCUUGUUGAAUGUCCAGCAUUUACUGAAGACUGUUUAUAAUUAAUCAAGCAGGGUUUUUAAUUGAAUUCUGAUUUAAAAGCUCAUUUUUAGCUUCAUUGUAUUUAGUUUCCUGCAUAUUGCUUCAAAAGGAUUGUGGUUAAGCAGUAUAUGAAUUGUUGAAAUAAUAAUUUAUCAAUACCAAUUGUCUGUUUGAUUGGGAAGGAAGGAAGGCAAGGUAGUGGUAGUGGUAGUCACUUGGGGUGAAGUGGAAGAAAAAUUCUGUUUACUAGCUGGGGUUAAAAAACUGGAUUUAUUCCAAUGUAUACAAAGUGGUGCCUUAUACCUGUGCGAAAUUGCUCACAUUUGUGAUAUGCUCGAAUAGGGAACAAAUAUGAUGGUCAUCUUUUCCUUACCACUUUGCUUCAUUCACUAUUCAGAGCUAUUAGUAGCCAAGUCAGUACACAUUAUGCUUCUUUUGUAUGCAUUUCUUUCUUUAAAUACUCUGACGUAAAAUAAUAAGCUAGUUACAUGAUGGACUUUUGUGUGACAAGAUGUUCCGAACAGAUUAUGAAAGAUGAAUGUGUUCCAUUCACAAGCUUAAAGCAACAGAGAAUCUCAUCAAAUAGAGAACAAAUCUCAGUGAGUCCAAUUACUAAGCGUUUACGAUGUACAUUUGUAGUAAGUAGUACACUGGCAUGCUGCAAUUUCAGAAAUCAUGGCUUCUCAUACAGGUUCAGUGAAAUUUGACUUCUUUUUCAGAGCUGAACUUCUUGCUCGAGCCUGCAAACAAUUCAGUCGUGGUUCUUCAAAAAUGCAAACUACUAUAGUAGAACUUUGCUUUCAUGAUAAAAAACAAUACAGGAAAAUAUAAAAGACACUGGCUAUAAUGGGCUAUAUUGUCAUUUUCCUACAAUGAUCCUAUGAUGCAAACAUUUUCAGAACUGGGGGAGAGGAGGGCUUAUCUAGCCAUAUUAUAGCCAGUUCAGCACUCGUGUACAUCAUUUCAUCCAAGUCUCUUGACUUACCAUUUUUUGUAUACCAUAUUAGACCGAAUAUAAGCCGCACCUUUAAAAUUAGAGGGGGGGAGAAAAAAAGAAAAAAUACCGAAUAUAAGCCAUUACAUCCUUGCUGCUCCUGGCUGCAUACUGGGGGGGGGGCGGACCGUGCUGCGUUGCCAGCAGCCUUUCUCCUUCCUCGCUCUCUCCCUUCCCAGCCUUGGGGGAGAGGACAGGGGACUACGCGUAGGGCAGGUGCUGCUUUGCUGGCUCCUGGUGCUGUUUGCCCCGCAUUCCCGGUUGCAUACCGUAAGGUCACGAAUAUAAGCCACACUUUAACUUUUCAUGGUCGGAAUUUGGAGGGAAAGUGAGGCUUAUAUUCAGGCCAAUACGGUAAUUGUUGCUAUAGACAUUUCUGAACAUGGGAAUAAUACCACAUUUCUGUGCCUUUAGAUCACACAACAGAGAAUCAUAGAAUUGUAGAGUUGGAAGGGACCCAAAGGGUCACUUUGUCCACUCCUGCAAUGCAGGGAUCUUUUGCCCAAUGUGAGGCUCAAACUCUGAGAUCAAGAGUCUCAUUCUCUACCAACUGGGUUGGUAUCAUUGGUUCAUUACUAAUUUUGCAUCAUAUCCUGCUGUCAGCCUGACUCUCAGAGUGGUUUGCAGUUCCAAGGUUGUUCUAAAACAAUUGUUGGGGACAGCAUUCCAUAGGUGAGGAUAAAAGGCCUAUCUUUAAACAACAUGGUCACUUCAUGUGGGAUUUACCAUGUCAAAAACUAACAUGAUUUGCUAGACCUAAACCAGGCAUGGACCUGUUUCCCUCCAGUUGUUGUUGGACUCUGACUCCCAUGCACCCAAUCCAUUUGAGAUGACUUCAAGUGAUAGCAAAGUUAUGUCUCUAAUGGCUUAUUCACACAUGUGAAGAAGCCAUUCCUAUGACACCAUUUCUUUCCAUUGUCUCACAAAGCAGAUAGAAGUCAUAGAAAUAUUACACUAGUUGCAUGCUUUGGGAAUUGACAGGUGAAGCAUUGCUUAUGGGUUUGGAAAAGAGAAUUAAAAAUAUGAUUAAUGCAUUUGGGUUUUUGGCCUGUGAGCAUUGUCUAAAAUUAUAAGAUGCAAAAUGGCAUGGAAACAAACAUCUCGGAGCCACUUAUCAAUCCAUGGUAAUCUUAUAUUCAUUAUUCUGCUAAAUACUGCAAGGUGUUAUGGAAAUAACCCAUUAGCAUAACAACAAAACCUAUUAGAGAUUUAUGAGGAAUUUAUAGUUCAGAAUAAAUGACCGAUUUUAAAGGAUGAAAAUAUGUUAUUCAUUCAUUCAUUCAUUUAAUACCCUUCCUUUUACCCUGUAUAGGAUCAACUCACAGCAUGAAUUUAAACAAAUGUAGCUUAAAGCACAAGCUCAGUAUAAAUAUUUUUUUAAAAAAUAAGAAACCCUAUUAAAAACACCACUGAGAACCCUAAAGUCAUUUGAAAGCACACCCAAAAGAGAAACAAGAAUGUACAACACCUGUUCUUCAAAGACUCUGCCAUAGCCGCCAGUUAGUGGCCAAAGGCCUUUCUGAACAAACAAAAAGUCUUUGCUCGUGAAAGCAAAGCAAGGAGGAGGCCAAGCUAGCCUCUUGUGGAAGGGAGUGCCACAAUCCGGGAACAGCUACUGAGAAGGCCCUCUCUUGUGUCCUUACAAAAUGGGCCUGUGAAGGUUGCAGGACUAAGAGAAAGGCCUGCCCAGGCAGACUCACAUAAGGAGGUACAGCCAUUUAGGUAGUCUAGAUCCAAGCCAGAUUGGGCUUUGCAGGUCAUAACCAGUCCUCUGAAUUAUGCCCAGAAGCGGGCCAUUGCAGCUGUUGGAACAAGGGGUUUCUGUUCUCCUUGAAACUAGCUUUGGUCAGCAAUCUGGCAAUAGCAUCUUGGCCCUGCUGAAGUUUCUGAAUGCUUUCAAAAGGCAUCCAAACAGGAUGUAACUUUCAAAAAUUAUUCAAAAUGAGAAACAAAGAGACGUCAUUCCACUUCUCAUUCCACUGGCUCACAAACCACAAUCCUGCAUUUGGUUGGUGUUCUUGCAGCCUAAGCCUAAACGUCUUUACAUGGGAGUAAUCCUACACUCAUCAAAACAUAGGAAGCUGCCUUUUUCUGAGACUAUUAGUCCAUUGAGCUCACUAUUGUCUACACUGGCUGGCUGCAGCUCUGCCAGAUCACAGGCAGGGACCCUUCUGAGUCUUACCUGGAACUUCUGCAUGCCAAGCAGGUGCUCUGCAUUGAGCUCUACACCUUUCCUCGCAGACUUGUAAGUCCAAUUGAAGUGACUGAACUUCCGGUUAGAAAUUUCCCUGUGUGUCCCACUAAGUUGGGUAGAAUUUGCCACUUGAGUGAGCUAAUUAUAGAGUUGGAAGGGACCCUUAGAGUCAUCUGGUCCAGCCCCCUGCAAUGCAGGGAUCCUGCCAACAACUGUACCUGGGUAGUCUCAAACCACCAACCUUCUGGUUAACAACCAGAUGCACUGACACAUUGUGCCACUGGUAUACUAGGGCUAAUGAGAUUUGGGAUAAUUUUAACUCGGUAGAAUAGUUCAUAAUACCAGUGCUAUUUUUCUAGAGAGAAAAGGUGCCGGAACUCACUAAUAAUAAUAAUAAUAAUAAUAAUAAUAAUGAUAUUUCUACCCUGCCCAUCUGGCUGGGUUUCCCCAACCCCUCUUGGUGGCUUACAGCAUAUAAAAAAUUAUAAAAUCAUCAGACAUUAAAAAUUUCCCGAUACAGGGCUGCCUUCAGAUGUCUUCUAAAAGUCGGAUAGUUGUUUAUUUCCUUGACAUCUAAUGGGAGGGCGUUCCACAGGGCGGGCGCCACUACUGAGAAGGCUCUCUGCCUCCCUUGUUCUCUUAUAAUGGCAAUGGUGCCCACCUGAGCAGUGCUGGAACUGAGUUCUGGUGAGUUUCAGCAGAAAAAAGCCCUGCAUAAUACUUUAUAUGAUUAUGGCAAUAUUGUUUCUCUAACUGUUGUCUGGGCCAGAGGAAGCCUGGUCAUUUCAAACAGUUGUGUGUUAAGGGUGCUGUUAAGGGAAUAAGGUAAAAGGGUGCUGUUAAGGGAAUAAGGUAAAAGGGACCCCUGACCAUUAGGUCCAGUUGUGACAGACUCUGGGGUUGUGGUGCUCAUCUCGCUUUAUUGGCCGAGGGAGCCGACGUACAGCUUCCGGGUCAUGUGGCCAGCAUGACUAAGCCGCUUCUGGCGAACCAGAGCAGCGCACGGAAACGCCAUUUACCUUCCCGCCAGAGUGGUACCUAUUUAUCUACUUGCACUUUGAGGUGCUUUCGAACUGCUAGGUUGGCAGGAGCAGGGACCGAGCGACGGGAGCUCACCCCGUCGCGGGGAUUCGAACCGCCGACCUUCUGAUCGGCAAGUCCUAGGCUCUGUGGUUUAACCCACAGCGCCACCUGCGUCCCACUGUUAAGGGAAUAGGAGACCCCUAUUCCCCUCACAGAGCUACAGUUUUCGGACUGGUUUAACAAUCCGUCUACCCAUGGAACUCUGGGAAUUGUGAGGGGAAUAGGGGUCUGCUAACAAUUGUCAGCAUCCUAAACGAACUGCAGUCCCCAGGAUUCAUUACGGGAUGCCAUGACUGUUUAAAGUGGUAGGAUACUGCUUUAAAUGUAUAGUGCAGAGGGGCCUGAGAGGUGGGUGAACAAGCAAGCAGGUUACAAUGGUGUAGAGGAACAGUUCCAAGGGCACUUACCAGUGGCCCUUCUGUUGGGGUGUGAACCCUUGGCAGAUGCUCAGCCAUGCUGACCUUUGACCCUAACCCUGAAACUCAAAUCCAUCAAUGAGUUGUAAGCCUCUACCAGCAGUGGAGUUCAGCUUUCCAAAGGAAGUUCAGUUUCCUAAUGCUCAGAGCAGCAGAGAGUUUAUGUUCUGCUAAGGUCCGCUUUCCAACUAAACAGGAAUUGAUCUCUGGGGUGAUGGCAGAAAUCUGACUAAUUUAGCUGAGAAUGUUCUCAAUACUGAGCUUCCCAGUUUUCGGUGUGAUGUGAAAUGCAUUAUUCAGUAGUCUGAAGCCACCCGGUAAGCUUGGGUGUAAGUUGCAUCUGCUUUCCAUAUAUUCCCAAGCUUUUUCUGCUUCCCUGCAAAGGGCUGGCUGGAGCACAUCUCUUUGAAGUCACCUUCAAAAAAAGGUCACUUUGACAACACAUCCUUUUGCCUGCAAAUGUCAAGGCUGUGUUCUGGUGCACAUUAAAGGUCACAGGAAAAGAAAAGGGGGUGGGGGGGAUUCAAAGAGGGAAAGGACAAAAUCAUUUCUCAUUAGAUAUUUAAAAGGGUUUUAAAAAUUUAAAUCCAAGAGGGCUUCUAAAAAUGAUAAGCAAUGCCCCAUUUCCAGUGUUCACUAAUGCAUGAACCAGAGGAAGGAAGAGGAACUGUGUCUCCUUGCGCACAGAGCAAGUAGCUCUUGACUGACAAAUAAAUGGGAUGUGGUUGUUUACACUUAGGGAUGCCUGAGAAAUUCAGUUUCCAUGGGUUCUGAGCUGAACUGAUUUGAUCUGCACCUCCUGGGCUAGUGUGCAGGUCUAAACUUAAUUAUUUGGAUUUUACGCUUCUUCAGUUUUUGCGACACAGUUCUUCGCUCCAAGAAUAUACCAAAAUUUGUUUAAAAUGUGUAUUUUAUGAGGAAAAAAUGGGUUUAGAAAUGUGUGCAUUGAGAUAAAAUUCAUAUAUAUAUAUAUAUAUAUAUAUAUAGUUAGUUAGUUAUAAAGUAAGUUUUUAAAUAGAUAUUUAAAUGCACACACAGUUUAUUGCAAAAUGCAUAGGGCAAUAGCCAAACUUCAUAAUACUCCAAGUAAACUCAUUGUAUCCAAUGUAUUUGAGUCUCAUGGGCUGUAUUCAAAGAAUUCCUGCUCAGAGCAUACCCAGUGAAAUGAAUCAACCUUAGCUAUGUUCAUUAACAACAGUGAGUCCACUCAGAGUAGGACUAGCGUUGAAUACCAGCCACAGAUUUCAGUGGGCCUACCCUGAGUAAGACUUAUUUGAAUAUCACCCCCGUUUAAAUCAUCAGGAAAAUUUGUAUUUUGAUGCAAAUUUUCAUAUGAAUUUGGGUUUGUUUUAAUUCACAGAUUAAUGUGGACAUGGGAUGGAACUGCGUUAUGAAUGAACACAUGCAAAAUAUUACCAUGAAUUCAGAAAAAAAAACACAGAUCAGACACCGAACAGAGCUCAGUUUAUGGAAUUGCUGUACAAGGAAAUUUAUUCACUUUCUAUCAUACAACAGCAGUACAUUACUUUACAAUCAGGUUGAGCUGAGGAUCACUUUAUGCUAAAUUUUAAUGCAUCUAAAGUCUAACCCAAGAUAAACACAACUAACCAGCGUUAAAGUAUCAUCUGUAAAAUUGUUUCCUACACAAAAUAUUGAACUCUCUUAAAAGAAAAGACACCCAGUUGAACAGGAUUCUAAAAGCCAGGAUGGUUUUUACUAUUUCUAACAACUUUGGCCUAUAAUAUUCCCUUCACAGUCUUGUUGCUAGUUCACAGUUCCAAAAUAUUUUUGCUUAGUUACAAUUUGUAAUUCAAAUUAGGAGCUCCCUGCUUGGGAACAAAAACACUGACAAAAGCAAAGUAAAAAAAUACCUUAUUUCUAGCAGAACUUCUCUGGGCAGAUCUGCACCCCACCACAUACUGAUUCCAGCUAUAAAAAUGUUUUCUUUGGUACAUCCACAGGUGUCCUGUGCGAGAAUCUCCUGCUUUGUACCAUUGCCUCUAGAAAGUACUCUCAGCUUAUUUCAUCAAGGAAUUCUCCAUGACCCUUUGAGAAGUUGGAGUGAGGAAGUGUAACAAGCCCGUCACAAGCAUUUUGAGAGCUCUAAGUCAACUUCUGCAAGUUGCAUUUCACUUCUGGGCUGCAGUUUCUCACCUCUGUUCUAGCAAUUUAAAAAGAGGGAUCCCCCUCACUUCCACCCUGUUCUCCAUACACCAUAAGAAUACAAUCUGCAUCCAUGGACUUCGAAGUUGCAACAACAAAUGAUGAACCGAGAUUGGAGUUCCGAAGUAAUAACUUGAAAGGUUGAAAAUCCCCUUUUGUAUUGAUGAAACUCAGUAGAGUCUGAAAUAUAAAUUAAUCACCGCCAUUGGCGGACUGAUGGCUUCAACACAGAUUAAAAGCAGAGCACCAGUGAAUCUCAGGCACCCCUUCUGUUGCCUUUGUAAGAGCAUGACCAGAGUAAGAAGUAGUUGAACAAUGAAAUGUGGUUUUUGGGGGCAAUCACUGCUCUUGUGGGAUUCUUGUGGAAACAGGUUACCUGAAGUAGUCAAAAAUCUUAAAUCACAAGAAGACGUGUGGGGUAAUG